UGAUCGGUGAUCGGCCUAAAAAAUCCUGAUCGGAGCACCCCUACUGUAUACUAUAGAAACACUGCAUAGUGCUGAGAAACGGAUUACAGAGUGUGAGUUUGCUGCAGUCGCUGUGGACCCAGACUUGGAAACUGCAGAGUGAUGCACACUUGUCUGGUUAGGCGCACCUUGCCUCCCCUCUGUCAAACAAAGUGCUUUAUUCCCCGUAAGCUUCCUGACGCCGGGGCUCAGUUGGGACUUGUUUGCGAUGAGCUCAGGAUAAGUUAUGCUGCUUAUGCCGUUGCUGUCAACACGGAGCUGCGCGGCAUGGCUGAAGUGAUGGACGAUGAUUGAGUCUAAUGUGAGGGAAUUAGCUGGGAGCAUUCAGCGCUGCAGGAACGCUGAUGGUGUGUACACUCAGCCACAAUGCAGGGAUUACUUCCCAAAGUAAUGUGGAAAAUAUGAUUUCUGAAUUUCUGAAACUUGUCGCUGUAUCUUUCAGGCUAAAACACUGGUGUAAACAAAGAUUAGGUUUUAAAAA